rnacentral:rRNA from 1 species
AUUGAACGCUGGCGGCAGGCCUAACACAUGCAAGUCGAACGGGUGGCGGACGGGUGAGUAAUGUAUGGGCAUCUGCCCGAUGGAGGGGGAUCACAACCGGAAGCGGUAGCUACUACCGCACACCAUCGGAUGUGCCGAGGUGGGAUUAUCUAGUGGGGGGGGUAACGGCUCACCAAGGCGACGAUCCCUAGCUGGUCUGAGAGGAUGACCAGCCACACUGGAACUGAGACACGGUCCAGACUCCUACGGGAGGCAGCAGUGGGGAAGAUUGGACAAUGGGCGAAAGCCUGAUCCAGCCAUGCCGCGUGUGUGAAGAAGGUCUUCGGAUUGUAAAGCACUUUCAGUGGGGAGGCGUUACUCACAGAAGAAGCACCGGCUAACUACGUGCCAGCAGCCGCGGUAAUUC